GGAUGCGUGACACCUGGCGGACGGAUGCGGGUCUAGAAAUACCAAUUUCACGGGUGCGGGUCGGGUCACGGGUAAUCCGCCAAUUCUAUUGAUUUACCCGACCCGUCCGCCCACACUAAUUUUCCCUUUUUUCCCCCCCAAUCUUGCCUUGCCCCUGUUGUUUUCAUUUGAGGUUUGUAGCCCUAGGUUUGUUCGACGACUAUGUCUGUCUCUCUCUCAACUCUCUCUCUCUCUCUCACACACACACACUUGAACGGAGGAGACGAGAAACAAUCGGCGUCGGUGACAAUGGUGGCUAUCGACGAUCGGUGAUCGGCGACAGUGGUGGUGGCGAGCAGCGAUCGAAGCAUCGAUUCGAAGUAAUUAGGGCUUCAGCUUCUUCCCUUCUCUUCUCUUCUCUUCUUGUCUUUGUAGAGAUUUGCUUAUUUUUUCAGGGCUUCGACUGUGUUCUGAUAGGGCUUCGACUGUGUUCUGCUAAUUACUUAGGGCUUUCACUGUGUCAAAUUAAUCAUGUUUCAGGUUGCCUUGUUUCUGAGUAUUUAAUCAUGUUUAAGGUUGCCUUAUUUCUGAGUAUUAAAUUAAUCAUGUGUUAAAUUAAGUUACAGAUAUGCUUAUUUCUUGUGUCUGAGUAUUUGAUCAAUGACAGCCCAAAUUGAUGACCUAGACUCCAUGGUUAAGAUUGCCUUGUGAGCAACCUUUUAUGUCUCUCAGUUCAUCACAUGUUGAAAUUGUGUGCAUUAAUGUGUUAUACCUUGAAUGGAACUUAAUUUUGUUUGUUAAGGGUUUGUUAGUUUAUUUGUUUGUUUUGGAAAAAGAUAAGAACUUCAUUGAAAUAUAUAAGAAGUAUGCAGAGCAGUGGCUUUCUUCUCUUCCAUAUCGCUGAAGCAUACUGAUUGGUUACUGUACUAGUUCUGAGGCAAAUAUUUGAAUAGAGUAUGUUAUGAUAUAGAUUAAAUAUUUAGAAGGGGAAGAAAAAUAGUUAAAAUUUACCGACAAAAAAAA